rnacentral:lncRNA from 1 species
CGGGCAGAAGUAUGUGGGGCUGGGAAUGGGGGUAUCAUGGGAAACCACAAAGCCUUCCUUUUGUGUAUCCCUGGGAAGGCACCAAAGCAUGCAAACUUUUCCACAUUUCCAGGAUCUUGCGUCUGAGCCCUGGAGGUCCUGCGUGCUGACUGUGAAGAGGCAGGAAGGGCAUGGCCUGUGGGGUCCUCACCCUUUGGUCGUCAAGCAACUCUUCAUUUACAAAUGGGAAAUCCACAACAUUGGUCAAGAAGAAAAGGCACCAUGAAUGGGAAGACCGAAGUGCAGACAACCAGCUGGAACAAGGGUGAAAAUAUAGGAGAUUACGAUCCAUUCCUGGGUGGACGGCCAGCGUUCCAUCUUCACUAACACGAUAUAGUUGAAGAGCAUCAGGUAUCCGAUAUACGCCAGCUGUAAGGAGACACAAUACAGUGCUCUGGCUGUUCAGGCCCAGGAGCCCCAGCAUCAGCCAAGGCCACUGCACAGCAGCACAGAGCAGGGUCAGCAAGCAGGACACAGACUUUAUGACAAAAGGAACUUGAAGGUGCUAAACUAACAAAAGAAUUAGAAAAGACAGUAAUACUUGAAGGAUUAUAAUAUGCAAUCUUCCUUUUGACCUGUACAUGUAUCUCUGGGGCUCUGGUGCUUCGUUUAAAUCUAUGUGUCAUGAUGCAUCAUUUCGCCUUGCAGUUACCCAUUUUUGUGUGUUUUCUUGGCUAAAAAGGGAGCCUUGGCUGUCAGUGGCGGCUCUUGCUCAGGCGUGGACCUUAGGUUCUUAAACUAGGGCAGCACAGUGGAUUUUUGCCUCACGAAUGCCAGGCAGAAUAAGUGUCUGUGAGAAGCAAAGGAAGAGGAAGACACAUGUAACACCUGUAAAUUGGUCAAACCAACAUAAAAAUAGCCCAGGCUUAAAGUGCUUCGCUUGUCAGUGCCCUGGGAGGGUCUUACCUGUUUUCAUUUCACCACUUUCCUGUCCUAAUCAAGUUAAGAUAAGAUAUUCCUUCCUGGUGUCUGCUUCAUUGAAACAACACAAGAAAAGACAACACAGUUUACAGAAAGGAAAGGGUCCGUGUGGCCUUUUGUGGACGGGUGUGGGGUUUAAUCCCCAAGAGGCUCUGGCUCGUGGGGUUGAAUCCUGAUGUGACUGGCUGAAUUGCUGGAUGUCUGGGAAGAACUCCCUAGGGUUUGGUGACUGCUCCUGGAAGAUUCAGUUGUGUCAAGGUGAGUGAAGUGCAGGGAAACUGGUGGCUCUUGCAUAAGGGGCUGAGGAGCCUUGAGAGAAGACUCACUCACCUUAAGGGAAAUGGCAGACUAGCUGGGCCUUCCUUACACAAUGCCUCAAGUCAAGUGAGGUACUCACUGGCCUUAGGGGCCUCAGGGGCUGUGAGCAGGAACCAAGAGGGAGUUUAUUAACUAAAAUCUGCUGCACUCUUCAGAGUGGUGUAGCAAAGAAUAGACACAGUGUGGGUGAAAGGAUUGAGGCCUUGAGGGGUCUGGAGGUACUGCAUGACUUUGUAGCUGGGAAGGCAGCUUAGAAGGUGGAGGAAGCUGCAGCCUUGCUGGGGGAUAUGCUGCUUUCUCUACUAAUUCUCUUAUGUUUUGGGACAGGGUCUCACUCUCGUCACCCAGGCUGGAGUGCAGUGGCAUUGUGAUCUCGGCUCAUUGUAGCAUUGACUUCCUGGGCUCAGAUGGAUACCUGAAAUAGGCUCUCAAAACAAGCAGGGUCUAGGAGCCAGUUGGACCCCUGCCUCCUUUCUUCUUGGACCAGAAGAGGACCCAAUCUGCUCCUAGAGAAACUUGCUACGAUGCAGAAGUGAGGUUAUAUGGAAAUGAAGUGUGUCCUACCUUUCAGAAACUUGGGAGAGUAGGAGAGACCAUUUUUGAAAAUCUGGUGAGAAAUACUCUUACAGAGAAAAACACAGCCCAAAGCACAUGGGACCUUCAAUCUGAAAUUGAAUUGUACUGUUAAGCAUGUCUGGUGAUUCAAAAGACUGGCAUACCUUAUUUCCAGUCACUUCCUCGAGGCCUGGGCUUUGUCAAUAUGUGAAGAUGAAUUUUGGAGAAUCAUGUAAACACAAUUGAACAGAUCUGGGGGAUCCAGUCUGAUGGGUUUGCUGAGGCCAAUCCAGUCAGCCACGCAGAAGUGUGCUGGACACACAGGCCCCACCACCCCCCGCCAAAGAGGCAGCCUCCCAACAAGCUGCCAAUGACAUAAGCAAAGCAGCGUGUCUCAAGUGUCUCCAAUCAUAAGAUUCGCCUGGGAAGCUGGUUAAACUAACACAGCCUCUUAGGCUCCUUCCUGAAGACUGGAUUCCAUGGGUCUAUGAUGGGGCUAGAAAUUUGCAUUUCUAACAAAACUCCCUUGUCAUCAUGGACGUUUUAGAGAUAUUGAUACUAUUAUUUCUACUGAUUUCUGCUCUCGGGAGUCUGUAAACUUUUUCUGCAAAUGGCCAACUGGUUAACUUUUAAGGCUUUGUAGAACCGAUAGUCUCUCUCUGUCUCUCACUACUCAUCAACUUGAUGUGGUAGCACAAAAGCAGUCAGUCAGCCUAUUGCUAAUGGUAAAUGAGAUUUAGCCUAAAGCUGCCUCCUUAAGUUCGGCCUGAAGUUUUCUCUGUACAUUGUGAACUAUAACAAAUGAAGGUGUAACAAGACCAAUCACCGAGUUUCGGUCAAUCAAAUGUAGCCAACUGCUCAAACUGUGUUCAAAUAAGGCAAACGCUGAGCUGUAACCAAUCCAGCUGUUUCUGUACCUCACUUCCGUUUUCUGUAUGCCACUUCCCUUUUUCUGUCCAUAAAUCUUCCACCACGUGGCCCUGCCAGAGUCUCUGAGCCUACUCUGGCUUGGAAGACUGCCCAAUUCACGAAUCGUUCAUUUGCUCAAUUAAACUCCUUUAAAUUUA